UACGUAGGUGACUAGCGUUGUCCGGAUUUACUGGGCGUAAAGAGCGCGCAGGCGGUCGUUCAAGUCGAGUGUGAAAGCCCCCGGCUCAACUGGGGAGGGUCACUUGAUACUGAUCGACUCGAAGGCAGGAGAGGGAAGCGGAAUUCCCGGUGUAGUGGUGAAAUGCGUAGAUAUCGGGAGGAACACCAGUGGCGAAGGCGGCUUCCUGGCCUGUUCGUUGAC
rnacentral:rRNA from 1 species